rnacentral:lncRNA from 1 species
UGGCCCCCGAGCGCGGGGAGCGCGGCCCAAGCGUCCUCCGCGUCUCCCGGGACAACCUCGGGCGCUGCCCUCUCAGCAGCGGCGGUUAAUUGGAUUCGGGACGGAGGGGGGGCACGGCAGCCUACCGCUGGGGCCAAUCGAAGACCUAGAAAGCCCUAUAUGCAAAUACAUGAGGGCUGGGCGUACCCCAAAUUAGGAGGAGCGAGGGUCGGCUGACGGGUUGUCCGGCAGCCAAUGGGAGCGUGUCUCCUUAAUCUUUUGAGGAGGGGGCCCGCAGGUGUGGUUGCGAGCGGUACGGGCCGCCGAGCGGGGGCAAGACCCGGGCAUAGGAAUCGCGGCAGGCAAACAGCAGUAGCCAUGACUUGUUCUCACCACUUGGGCAAGGACUCAAAAAAGAGCAAAGACAACUCGCAGCUCCGGAGGCCAGAUUCAGGGGUGAGCAGGGAUUUCCCCAGAGCCGCCUCCCAGGCUGGGGAGAUGCCCCAGUGCCUGCCUUUGGAAGGUGAGGAAGGGGCCGACUCAGAAGAGCGGGAGGACAGUUCCCAAGAAGAUCCGAAAGAGAUCAUCACCCUGGCUUUCGUGAGCGAGAACACUGGGGUGCAAGGGGGGCUUCAGGAUGCCCAGCAGCAAGGCAAGAAGAAGAGGAAGAAAAAGAGGUUAGGACUGAAAGAUGGGGAAUGGGGAUCCAUGUUGUGGGGAGCAGAAGGGACCUAGGGAGGAUGGGGCCUUGGCCAUGAAUGAGAAUUCAAGAGAUGUUGUGUGUGCUGAGAACUUCAAAAUCACACCCCCUUCAGUUCAUAGGAGAAGAAUCCACCUGACGAUCUGUUUUAUAGAAUCAAAUAAUGGUGUAUAAUCUCACACCACACCUUGUCCUAAUCUUCAUUCUAUUUGUGUUUAGAAUGCUUUUUUUUUUUUUUUAUUUCCUCGUUUUAAGGAAGUGCUUAUUGUCC